rnacentral:rRNA from 1 species
UACGUAGGGGGCAAGCGUUAUCCGGAUUUACUGGGUGUAAAGGGGGCGCAGACGGCGAUGCAAGCCAGGAGUGAAAGCCCGGGGCCCAACCCCGGGACUGCUCUUGGAACUGCGUGGCUGGAGUGCAGGAGGGGCAGGCGGAAUUCCUGGUGUAGCGGUGAAAUGCGUAGAUAUCAGGAGGAACACCGGUGGCGAAGGCGGCCUGAUGGACUGCAACUGACGUUGAGGCCCGAAAGCGUGGGGAGCAAACAGG